rnacentral:rRNA from 1 species
CUACGGGCUGCUGCAGUGGGGAAUAUUGCACAAUGGGCGCAAGCCUGAUGCAGCCAUGCCGCGUGUAUGAAGAAGGCCUUCGGGUUGUAAAGUACUUUCAGCGGGGAGGAGGGGAGUAAAGUUAAUACCUUUGCUCAUUGACGUUACCCGCAGAAGAAGCACCGGCUAACUCCGUGCCAGCAGCCGCGGUAAUACGGAGGGUGCAAGCGUUAAUCGGAAUUACUGGGCGUAAAGCGCACGCAGGCGGUUUGUUAAGUCAGAUGUGAAAUCCCCGGGCUCAACCUGGGAACUGCAUCUGAUACUGGCAAGCUUGAGUCUCGUAGAGGGGGGUAGAAUUCCAGGUGUAGCGGUGAAAUGCGUAGAGAUCUGGAGGAAUACCGGUGGCGAAGGCGGCCCCCUGGACGAAGACUGACGCUCAGGUGCGAAAGCGUGGGGAGCAAACAGGAUUAGAUACCCGCGUAGUC